rnacentral:rRNA from 1 species
AACGAACGCUGGCGGCAGGCUUAACACAUGCAAGUCGAACGCCCCGCAAGGGGAGUGGCAGACGGGUGAGUAACGCGUGGGAAUCUACCGUACCCUACGGAAUAACGCAUGGAAACGUGUGCUAAUACCGUAUACGCCCUACGGGGGAAAGAUUUAUCGGGGUAUGAUGAGCCCGCGUUGGAUUAGCUAGUUGGUGGGGUAAAGGCCUACCAAGGCGACGAUCCAUAGCUGGUCUGAGAGGAUGAUCAGCCACAUUGGGACUGAGACACGGCCCAAACUCCUACGGGAGGCAGCAGUGGGGAAUAUUGGACAAUGGGCGCAAGCCUGAUCCAGCCAUGCCGCGUGAGUGAUGAAGGUCUUAGGAUUGUAAAGCUCUUUCACCGGAGAAGAUAAUGACGGUAUCCGGAGAAGAAGCCCCGGCUAACUUCGUGCCAGCAGCCGCCGUAAGAC